UAAUAGCAUAUAUUAAAUUUGUUGCGGUUGAAACGCUCGUAGUUUUAUUUUUUUCUAAAAGAAACCUAUGGUUUUGAAAUUUGAUGUUUACACACUUUUUAAAAGAUUGUGUAAAUUUGCCCCUUUGAAGCAAUGAUAACGGUCGACCUUUAUGUUUCAAAGCAUGGAACGGACGUGUACGUACAUGAUAUUUGUAUUUAUUGUUUUGCAUGUCAGUGAAAUAACAGUUAUGAAACAUUGGAAGUACUUAUAUUCAGCUGUCAGAGGUGAAAUUCUUGGACCAGCUGAGGAUAAUCAGAGGCUAAUGCAUUUACUGAAAGUUUAUUAGUUUAUCAAGAACGUAAGUUGAGGGUUCGAAGACGAUCAGAUACCAU
rnacentral:rRNA from 1 species